CCUACGGGAGGCAGCAGUGAGGAAUAUUGGUCAAUGGGCUUACGCCUGAACCAGCCAAGUCGCGUGAGGGAAGACUGCCCUAUGGGUUGUAAACCUCUUUUGUCAGGGAGCAACGCCGGCUACGUGUAGCCGGACUGAGAGUACCUGAAGAAAAAGCAUCGGCUAACUCCGUGCCAGCAGCCGCGGUAAUACGGAGGAUGCGAGCGUUAUCCGGAUUUAUUGGGUUUAAAGGGUGCGCAGGCGGAAGAUCAAGUCAGCGGUAAAAUUGAGAGGCUCAACCUCUUCGAGCCGUUGAAACUGGUUUU
rnacentral:rRNA from 1 species